GCAGGGGUAGCCAAGUAGUAAGGCAAGCGGCUGCAACCCGCUGAUCCUGGGUGCAAAUCCCGGCCUCUGCU
rnacentral:tRNA from 1 species